AAUAGAUACCCGGGUAGUCCACGCCCUAAACGAUGUCAACUAGCUGUUGGGGCCUUCGGGCCUUGGUAGCGCAGCUAACGCGUGAAGUUGACCGCCUGGGGAGUACGGUCGCAAGAUUAAAACUCAAAGGAAUUGACGGGGACCCGCACAAGCGGUGGAUGAUGUGGAUUAAUUCGAUGCAACGCGAAAAACCUUACCUACCCUUGACAUGUCUGGAAUGCCGAAGAGAUUUGGUAGUGCUCGCAAGAGAACCGGAACACAGGUGCUGCAUGGCUGUCGUCAGCUCGUGUCGUGAGAUGUUGGGUUAAGUCCCGCAACGAGCGCAACCCUUGUCAUUAGUUGCUACGAAAGGGCACUCUAAUGAGACUGCCGGUGACAAACCGGAGGAAGGUGGGGAUGACGUCAAGUCCUCAUGGCCCUUAUGGGUAGGGCUUCACACGUCAUACAAUGGUCGGGACAGAGGGUCGCCAACCCGCGAGGGGGAGCCAAUCCCAGAAACCCGAUCGUAGUCCGGAUCGCAGUCUGCAA
rnacentral:rRNA from 1 species